UUGCUUUGACGUUUUGGAUAAAAGAGUUGGGGCAGAGAUGUCCCAGUACAAUGUUCACUGUCAUUGCAAAACAUCAAACUUGACAUUGAGCACCAAUUCUUUUAUCCAAAACGUCAAAGCAAAGUGGUUCCAAGUUCUUGUACAUGUAGUUUCCUUGGACCUUAGUUGUUACUUGUAAAUGUUCUCAUAUUUGGCUAAACAUGUAAACACGCAAGAUAUGAUCCUCCAUACAACCAUUUAAUGCACAACACAGAAAUCCUCAGUUGUGUUCUAGUUUCCCUUAUUUGAACGACAAA
rnacentral:misc_RNA from 1 species